AGGUUAACCGUAUAGGGGAGCCGUAGAGAAAUCGAGUCUUAAUAGGGCGUUUAGUUGCUGGGUAUAGACCCGAAACCAGGCGAUCUAUCCAUGAGCAGGUUGAAGGUUGGGUAACACUAACUGGAGGACCGAACCCACUGUCGUUGAAAAGCCAGGGGAUGACUUGUGGAUAGGGGGGAAAGGCUAAUCAAGCCUGGUGAUAGCUGGUUCUCCCCGA
rnacentral:rRNA from 1 species